rnacentral:lncRNA from 1 species
UCAAAUACAUCACUGUCUCCGUCCAAAGCACGAAGAGAUGAUUCGACAAAUCUUGCUGCAGCAUAUGCCAUUGAAAGGGUAGCAGAUCCUGCCCCAGCCUUUGCUUCCACAACUUCGGUUCCCCCAUUUUGAGUUCUAAUAGUCAGUUCUUGAAUUUGUUCGUCUGUAAAACUUACUGAAGGGCGUGCCUUUGAUAGCAAUGGAAGAAUUGUUAUUCCAGCAUGUCCACCAAUAACCGGGACAUCAACGUCAAUCAGUUUAAGGUUCUUCUUUUCAGCAACGAAAGUAUUUGCGCGGACAACAUCCAAUGUAGUAACCCCAAAAA